UAGUCGAUAGGCUCACAUGAAACCAGUGAUGGAUUAAUUGAUAUGAGCAGUGGGGUAGUCAGCCUGCAUGUUUACUUCUCCUGUAGGACCAAAUUUGCUAGCUCUUUACGCCAAUAGACAUGAAGGAUGCAAAUUUUCCAAGGAGGGUGUAUUAAUACGCUAGAAAAAGGUUUUCUGACGCUCUGGACUGUUGUAUAUUAAAGUUAUAAAUUGUGUUGAUUUGGAAAAAAAUCACUCAAACAGAAGAUCUUCAUCACGGCUGUCUUCAAGAAGGUUUGGAAUAGCACCACCUUAAGAUUGAACACAUUUCAUUUACAAACAGAAAACGAUGUAUGCAUUAUUACAUAAGAGGUUAACUUAUCAUUUUCUCCAAAUAAUAUAAUAUCAUUAAAAGAAUUCAGAACAAGA